GUUGAAUUUAGUUUUAAUCAUGUAAGAAUCGAUAAUCACAAUCCAAUAAAUUAAUAGAAACAAAUUCAUACCUGCGGAAGCCAUUGUUAAUAUGAAUGAUAGUUGUAAUAGCAACCAAGAUCUUUCCCUCCUUACUCUUAACAAAGUAUCAGCUAUCAAUGGGGCAAGCCAAUAAAACAUAUGGAGAGGAGAGGGGAACUAGCCUUUAUAUAUAGGAAAUAAUUUGAGCCGUCCUAUUACGACUAGAAUUCUAAUUAGAGUUUAUUUUCGGCCCAUAUACUUAAAAUUACCACAUCAAAUUAAUUACAAUACGUAAGGUGUAAAAGACCCAAUUGAUUACUUAAUAAAUUUGGCCCAAACACAAUAUCAUUAUGAGCCAUACAUUUAACCCGUAAAAUUUGCAAUCAAAUGUGAAGCCCACAUAUGGAAUUAUUAAUUAUUCCAACAUUCUCCCACUUGGGCAAACAUUUGAUUGCUAUAACAAAGUUUUAACACCAGGGUUAGACUACAUAGAUGGCCACAAAAGUGUGACUCCAAUGAUGUCACCUUACGUAACAUGAUCCGGUCUAACAAGAAUAUUAACACCGAACAUGGAAGUCAUUACACCAAUUAAGCGAUGUAAGACCAUUCCACAACUACAAAUGUCAACAUCCUUAUCGACAUGGAUCCCCAUCCUCCAACCAAUGUGGUAGUAUGUGGUAUGAACUUAGCACCAAAUGUAUCAAAACUGUGCUAAUUCAUAUCGAUCCUCAUAAUGCUUUUGAUCAAAAUGAAGCCACAUGUUUCCAAAAGAGACUCAUCUUAUGUCUUUACAUGUCAUAUCUCAAUAUCACAAUAAUAUUAUAAUAAAAGAUAUAAGUCAAAUGCAUGCUCAAAAUAGUCUAUGGAUAGGGAAAAAAUAUUUUAUUAUUAGAAGGGGCUGUACCCGAAAACAUAUGGGUUGCCUACGUACCCUGCAAAGGGAUCAAGCCCAAAACAUAGUUCUUUACAUAAAUGUAUAACUCCC
rnacentral:lncRNA from 1 species